UCCAACAGCUGUCAGCUAUCCCGGCUGUGUGGUGCCGGUGAUUGUGUUACACUGUUGGAAGAAUAAAGGCUGUCUUACUAAGGGUGGCUCCGAGCACUGUUUUGGUGUUCCUGCUGACUACCUUCAGGCAGUGUUGCACCCCUGAGAGUGGAAGGACUCCUUGUGGAGUCGGUCCUGGUCUAGGUGCAAACAGU
rnacentral:snoRNA from 1 species